rnacentral:lncRNA from 1 species
AGCAGCUAUGGGAGCAGCAAACACGUCAUGGCUACCAUGUUUUGACGUCACUAUCGGUGGCGCCAGCAGUCCAGGAAAGGUCCGUGCACCACAAUUUCGCUAUCUAUGGUCUGUGCGCACGACAUUAUGCAGAUUUCACACUUGUACGUGCCGAAAGAUUACGUAAAUACUACACGCUAACCGUUUUGCCUGCGUUAAUUGACAACAGCUUAAGCGGUCGGCCAAUACAUUACGUUCAAUGGCGACAGGGUGGGGGAUUCAUCGCGACUAUAUUUAAACUGGAAUUACUUAUUAAGCAGGUACGUAUUAACGAGGUUUUACUGUAGUUCAG